CACGUAGGGGGCGAGCGUUGUCCGGAUUUAUUGGGCGUAAAGAGCUCGUAGGCGGCUCAGUAAGUCAGGUGUGAAAACUCCAGGCUCAACCUGGAGACGCCACCUGAUACUGCUGUGGCUAGAGUCCGGUAGGGGAGCAUGGAAUUCCUGGUGUAGCGGUGAAAUGCGCAGAUAUCAGGAGGAACACCAAUGGCGAAGGCAGCUCGCUGGGACGGUACUGACGCUGAGACGCGAAAGCGUGGGGUGCAAACAGG
rnacentral:rRNA from 1 species